rnacentral:rRNA from 1 species
AGUGAACGCUGGCGGUAGGCCUAACACAUGCAAGUCGAACGGCAGCACAGUAAGAGCUUGCUCUUACGGGUGGCGACUGGCGGACGGGUGAGGAAUACAUCGGAAUCUACUUUUUCGUGGGGGAUAACGUAGGGAAACUUACGCUAAUACCGCAUACGACCUACGGGUGGAAGCAGGGGAUCUUAGGACCUUGCGCGAUUGAAUGAGGCGAUGUCGGAUUAGCUAGUUGGCGGGGUAAAGGCCCACCAAGGCGACGAUCCGUAGCUGGUCUGAGAGGAUGAUCAGCCACACUGGAACUGAGACACGGUCCAGACUCCUACGGGAGGCAGCAGUGGGGAAUAUUGGACAAUGGGCGCAAGCCUGAUCCAGCCAUACCGCGUGGGUGAAGAAGGCCUUCGGGUUGUAAAGCCCUUUUGUUUGGAAAGAAAAGCAGCAGGUUAAUACCCCGCUGUUCUGACGUUACCCAAAGAAUAAGCACCGGCUAACUUCGUG